rnacentral:rRNA from 1 species
UCCUUUCCGGGGGAGGAGCAGUAGGGAAUCUUCGGCAAUGGGGGCAACCCUGACCGAGCAACGCCGCGUGAGUGAAGAAGGUUUUCGGAUCGUAAAGCUCUGUUGUAAGUCAAGAACGAGUGUGAGAGUGGAAAGUUCACACUGUGACGGUAGCUUACCAGAAAGGGACGGCUAACUACGUGCCAGCAGCCGCGGUAAUACGUAGGUCCCGAGCGUUGUCCGGAUUUAUUGGGCGUAAAGCGAGCGCAGGCGGUUUGAUAAGUCUGAAGUUAAAGGCUGUGGCUCAACCAUAGUUCGCUUUGGAAACUGUCAAACUUGAGUGCAGAAGGGGAGAGUGGAAUUCCAUGUGUAGCGGUGAAAUGCGUAGAUAUAUGGAGGAACACCGGUGGCGAAAGCGGCUCUCUGGUCUGUAACUGACGCUGAGGCUCGAAAGCGUGGGGAGCGAACAGGAUUAGAUACCCUGGUAGUCCACGCCGUAAACGAUGAGUGCUAGGUGUUGGGUCCUUUCCGGGAUUCAGUGCCGCAGCUAACGCAUUAAGCACUCCGCCGGGAGUCAACCGA